rnacentral:misc_RNA from 1 species
AAAUAAAAACAAACAAGUCACUGGAUAUUUGUCUAUAAUACUCCCAAAAUAUAGAAUACACAUUUAUCUAUUGAAAACAACCUCUUUACGAUAUGGAUACACUCUACUCUCCCGAGAUCCCAAUUUAUGGGAUUACACAGGGUAUGUUGUUAUUUUUCUUCUGUUAAGAUCUUAUCAAUUGUCAAUAUAGCAGAACUUUACAGUACAUCAAAGGGUAAAGGAGCAUAGUGCAGAUUUGACAAUUGACGAUUAAUCAUCCGAAAGUUGGUGUAGUCCUAUCAAAAAUGAAAUGACCCUGAAACAAGUAACAGGAAGGACAGAAACAAUAAUUCGGGGCAAACAUCCGUGAGGAGAAAGAAUGAGACUGCCACAUUGCGUGGCGUUAGUUCCUUGUAUUCAACUUCUGCAGUCAUCUGAUGUCCUUGAAAUAGAACAUCAAGAGAAAACUAAAGGUUCCCCGUUGAGUCUGAGUGAUCUCAGGUAGGAGGUUGCCAUGUUCCUGGUCUAAAGGAUUCACCGGUACCAGUUGGCUCUGACGACCUUUUUUCAUGCUGUGUAUCAGAGGCUUCUGCCUUUGUAUCACCUUUUGAAGCAUCCGGAAAUUGUUGAACGAAACUUUUUAAAUCUGGACCAUCAGCUUUACCAAUGUUUGUGGCUUUCCUCUUGCCUUCUUUGGCCAUUCUUUCCUCCUCUUCCUUCUUGAGACGAGCAAUAUUAAGCUUAACAAAUUCCCUUCUGGCCUCCAACUCAG